AAACCAACCGGGAUUGCCUCAGUAACGGCGAGUGAAGCGGCAAAAGCUCAAAUUUGAAAUCUGGCCCCUCCGGGGUCCGAGUUGUAAUUUGUAGAGGAUGCUUCGGGUGCGGCCCCCGUCUAAGUGCUCUGGAACGGGCCAUCGGAGAGGGUGAGAAUCCCGUCUGGGAUGGGGUGCCCGCGUCCGUGUGAAGCUCCUUCGACGAGUCGAGUUGUUUGGGAAUGCAGCUCUAAAUGGGUGGUAAAUUUCAUCUAAAGCUAAAUACUGGCCGGAGACCGAUAGCGCACAAGUAGAGUGAUCGAAAGAUGAAAAGCACUUUGAAAAGAGAGUUAAACAGCACGUGAAAUUGUUGAAAGGGAAGCACUGGCAACCAGACUCGCCCACGGGGUUCAGCCGGCCUUCGGGCCGGUGUACUUCCCCGGGGGGCGGGCCAGCGUCGGUUUGGGCGGCCGGUUAAAGGCCCCCGGAAUGUAACGUCCCUCGGGGCGCCUUAUAGCCGGGGGUGUCAUGCGGCCAGCCUGGACCGGGGAACGCGCUUCGGCACGGACGCUGGCAUAAUGGUUGUCAAUGAC
rnacentral:rRNA from 1 species